rnacentral:rRNA from 1 species
ACGGCGACGUGAGGCUAAUCCCUAAAUCCUCUCUUAGUUCGGAUUGGAGUCUGCAACCCGACUCCAUGAAGCUGGAUUCGCUAGUAAUCGCGCAUCAGCCAUGGCGCGGUGAAUACGUUCCCGGGCCUUGUACACACCGCCCGUCAAGCCAUGGAAGCCGGGAGUGCCUGAAGUGCGUGACCGCAAGGAGCGUCCUAAGGCAAUACCGGUGACUGGGGCUAAGUCGUAACAAGGUAUC